rnacentral:rRNA from 1 species
AUUGAACGCUGGCGGCAUGCUUUACACAUGCAAGUCGAACGGUAACAGGUUAAGCUGACGAGUGGCGAACGGGUGAGUAAUGCAUCGGAACGUGCCCGGUCGUGGGGGAUAACGCAGCGAAAGCUGCGCUAAUACCGCAUACGAUCUGAGGAUGAAAGCGGGGGACCGUAAGGCCUCGCGCGAUCGGAGCGGCCGAUGUCAGAUUAGGUAGUUGGUGGGGUAAAGGCUCACCAAGCCAACGAUCUGUAGCUGGUCUGAGAGGACGACCAGCCCCACUGGGACUGAGACACGGCCCGGACUCCUACGGGAGGCAGCAGUGGGGAAUUUUGGACAAUGGGCGAAAGCCUGAUCCAGCAAUGCCGCGUGCAGGAAGAAGGCCUUCGGGUUGUAAACUGCUUUUGUACGGAGCGAAAAGGUCUCCUCUAAUACAGGGGGCUCAUGACGGUACCGUAAGAAUAAGCACCGGCUAACUACGUGCCAGCAGCCGCGGUAA